rnacentral:rRNA from 1 species
ACGAGAGGCCCAAGUUGACAGUCUUCGGCGUAAAGCGUGGUUAAAGAUAUACUAAACUAAGGCUAAACUUCCCCAAGGCUGUCAUACGCACCCGGAAACAUGAGACCCGACCACGAAAGUGGCCUUAAUACCCCCCCCCC